rnacentral:snRNA from 1 species
GUGCUUGCUUUGGCAGCACAUAUACUAAAAUUAGAAUGAUACAGAGAAGAUUAGCAUGGACCCUGCAUAAGGAUGACACAAAAA